rnacentral:rRNA from 1 species
ACUUGGAGGAAUGUAUAGCAAUUGCUAAUUGCACCAACGUAAGAUUGGUGCAAUAUCGACUUGGUCGAAUAAAAUUCUAGGUAAAACUAUGAUGAUGACAUUAUUUACCUAUGUGUCUUGACCAAAUUACGUGCCAGCAGUCGCGGUAAUACGUAGAAGACUAGUGUUAUUCAUCUUUAAUAGGUUUAAAGGGUACCUAGACGGUAAAUAAAGCCUUAUAAGGAACUGAUUUACUAGAGUUACAUAUGAGGGAGUUUUAAGGUACUAGAGGUGAAGAGAUGAAAUUCUGUUAUACCUUUUUUCUAAAGAAAAAACUUGGCACAGGUAUAGGUGAAAACAUCUCCUUAUGUAAUAACUGACGUUGAGGGACGAAGGCUCUUUAUCGCGAAAAGGAUUAGAUACCCUUGUAGUCAGAGCAGAAAAUGAUGAGUGUCAUAGAUUAGAUAAAAAUUUAUUCUAUAAAUGAAAGUGUAAGCACUCCACCUCAAGAGUAAUUUGGCAACAUUGGAACUGAAAUCAUUAGACCGUUUCUGAAACCAGUAGUGAAGUAUGUUGUUUAAUUUGAUAAUCCGCAAAGAACCUUACCACAACUUGAAUGUUUAUGUUUAUAUAGAUACAAGUGUUGCACGGCUGUCUUCAGUUAAUGUCGUGAGACUAUGGUUAGCUCCAUUAAAUUAACGUAAACCCUUACUUUAUUUUUAAAUAGAGUAGUUCUCCAUUAUAUUGGAUAAGAUAACA